GCCGAGCGACCACAACACGAGGACGACGCGGCUCCGCCUCGGGUAAGCACCCCGGCACCGCCCGCGUCGCGGCCCGAGUGCGGGCCGCACUUUCCACCGCGUCGCCACCGUCAUGCGUGACGGCUCAACGGCCCCACACACCUCCAGGACACUAGGAAAUGGCAACGACGGCGGGACGGGAAGCAUGAGAGCAUCACUUCCGGUACCUCCUGGAUUCCGGAAGUCUUGGUUGCCAAGAGAAACAACAUUCUUACUCCAGGAUGACACGAGCUUCCCCCUCUACCCUGUUCUGCUGUCAGGAGGUCCAGCAUCCUUCUAUUUCGUAGUACAACCCUGGGAGUGGUGGUCAUCUGUAUCUGGGGAAUAAUUAUAACAGGAAUGCUGAGGUAGGGGCCCCUCAAAGAGGGGGACCUCCUAUGAGGGUUUAUUAAAGGAGAAACCUGGGUCUGAGGAGGAACCAUGCGAGGUAGCAUGAACAGGAGUCAUUACUAAGAGGGGAUCCAAAAGGGAUGCACAGAAAAAACAUAGAGAGGCAUUUUAGAUGGGAUGUGAGGAGCAAUAAUAGAUCAGAAGCGCAUUGAACAUGUUGUAGCCAGGAUUGGGCAUUUCUUCUCAGUUGUAUUUCCUGUUCAAGAAUGGUUUUAUGGGUUCAUGUGGACUGCUCCAGGUAUCGAGAGAUAUGAGCAGAGGGGCAUGCAGCGCAACUGGUGGGAUAUAGCUUCCCCAUGA
rnacentral:lncRNA from 1 species